UCUCCGUUGGUGAACCAGCGGAGGGCUCAUUAUAGAGUUUUCAAAACUCCCAAACCCAUGUGAACUUACCUAUGUUGCCUCGGUGGGAGCCUACCCUGUACCUACCCUGUAGCCCGCCGGUGGACCAUUAAACUCUUGUUAUUCUAUGGAUAUCUGAGCGUCUUAUUUAAUAAGUUAAAACUUUCAACAACGGAUCUCUGGGUUCUGGCAUCGAUGAAGAACGCAGC
rnacentral:misc_RNA from 1 species